rnacentral:lncRNA from 10 species
AUCAAGGUGACGUUGCUUCUAGACCCUCUCAGUUAAGGGAGCAAGGAGACAUUAUUUGUUUUUCGUGUCUUUUUGAUGUGGAUUUGAGAUACGCCUAUUCACUGAGCCAGCCUCUGAGUCGAGGGAACAUGCAGGCUGGUUAGACAAUCAGAGUCUGCCCUGAGGCAGGCCAGAUGACACGUUUGGACUCAAACUACAGGGCUAAGCCUACCAGUUUACCCAAGAGCGCUCAAGGUGCUGAUAAGGAAGAGGGGAGAUUGGUGUAGAUUGGUGUUCAGCAGUAAGGACAAAUAUCCAUUACCAUGGGGGAAUAAUUAAAUAAGAGUGGCCAGAGGCCGGGCGCGGUGGCUCACGCCUAUAAUCCCAGCACUUUGGGAGGCCAAGGCGGGCAGAUCACUUGAGGUCAGGAGUUCGAGACCAGCCUGGUCAACAUGGUGAAACCCCAUCUCUACUAAAAAAUAUAAAAAUUAGCCAGGCAUGGUGGUGCGUGCCUGUAAUCCCAGCUAAUCGAGAGGCUGAGGCAGGAGAAUCGCUUGAACCUGGGAGGUGGAGGUUGCAGUGAGCCAAGAUCAUGCCACUGCACUCCAGCCUGGGUGAUAGAGCAAGACACAGCCUCAAAAAUAAUAAAUAAAUAAAUAAAAAUAAAAAUUUUUUUUAAAAAAGGGGUGGCCAGAAAGAACUGCAGUUUCUUUGGCCUGAUACUUUAUUACAAAUCCCCUUUCCUUUGGAGAAAGUGCUGGGCAGUAAGUGAUUCAGGAAAAUGAUAAAUUCUUUGAGCAUCUAUUCCCAAAGUCACGUGUGCAAUAAUGAAAUAUUUUUAAUCUUGUCCUUCAAACCAGCGGGCUUGUCUGGUAAUAGGUCCCAAUUAAAUCCUUUUUCUUAAAUUACAUUGUUGUUAAGGACUUUGUUAUCUUCACAGGAUAUUCCCCCCCACCGCUCUCAGCCCAACCCUCUCAAAAUUGCCUCGCCAUCCUCCUUUCCUAUUAAAAAAUGGAAAAUUGCACAAUUCACCUAAUUAGUCAAAUUUGAAUCUUCUGUGGCUAUCACAGCCCAAUGGUUGAAUUUCACACACCAUUUGAAAAGCUAUGGUAGAAACGCCGUUGUUGAUUCCUCCUCACACUCCAGUGGUACUAUUCAAUUACAAAAGGAAUUAUUUGACUUUCUGUCGCCACGAUGCUCUAGCAAUAUGCUAUUAACCUCGAUUGAUUUUUGCUUAAAUGUAUUCAAGAUGGGCACAUUUUUGUAAAUCUAAUGUGCUGGUAUUUAAACGGAAAUAUUUCAUUAAAUGGAUUUUCUUUUUAAAUGAAAUUUGCCAAAUGGUUAUAAAUGAUGGGAGAUGAGUUUUGAACUUGAAGACGUGACGUGAAGGUUCUGGGAAGAGGCUUUCUGUGCCACCAAACAGGCUGGGGCACUUAGAGUGGAUUUUGGGGGGAAUGCACACAGCAGGGGAGGCAAGAUUCUCGCCCUGCUGCGUGCCUAAGCUGGUGAACAUAAAAGCACCUUCCUUGCAGGGCUGCUGGGGGCCUUGAGGCCAACACAGACCAGGGGUGUAGAGCCUUGGCAGGCAGGAAAUGGUCAGCAAAGGUGAUGGUGAUGAUGCUAUGGCAUCUAUGAAGUAUCAGUCACUCAUGUCUAUCAUAUAUUAUCACUAUUAAUGGCUUUAAGAGAAAUGUUUACAAUUUGGGGGAAUCUCAUGAAAGUAUAAUCUAUUUUAUUAACUAGAGACAUAAAUAAGUGAAGCCCCCUUGAGGCAGAGACCUCCCCUCUCCAAUCCUGCUCUCUCUCCAGGCCUCAACUUACAAUGUACAUUCACAAAGAUCUCUCUUUCUUUUUAAAAGCUUUUCUUUUUUUUUUCUGUUGUUGUCAGUUUGAGGGGAAGAGGAGCUUGUCAGUGUGUGUGUGUGUUUUGUUUUUGUUGUUGUUGGGUUUUUUUGAUGAUCAAUUGCCUCUCAUUGUUCUCUGGUUUAGGAAGCGUUUACCAAUGAAACCAGUUCCACCCACCUGGGCAUGGAGAGGAUACAGUAAAAUAUUCUGAUAGCUUUACACACACCUCCGCAUCCCUCUAUAUCUUCUAAACACAUCCCACUUUUGACUAGCUCUAUCCAGGGAGGGGGACAUUUAUAGGAAAAUUGCAGACGCCAGGUGACCCACCCCAUUUCAAGUCUGUCCUUGGAAUGAGGCGAGGAUGGGGUUGGAGAAAGAGCCGCUUUUCAAAGUGCCCUAGAAUAGGCACAACUUGAGCAAAUGUGAAAAUAAGUUUUAAAAUGAAAAGUCAGAAGUCACGGGGAUGCUGGUCUCGGACAGCCAUCAGUUCUCGAUGCCUGCCAAGAAAGCUCAGUUUUCCUCAGGUGUGGACAGAAAGUGGCUUCCUUCUGUAUGUGGGACAGACUUUUGCUUAUUCUUGCUUGAUUUUUUUUUUUUUUUUUUUACUUAGCCUAUCCAGUGAGCUUGAGACUUGAAGGAGCGUGGCCAACAUCUUUACUGUUCUGCCACAAUCCUUAUAAUAAAAUAAUUCAAUAAGUUCCACCGACGGCACACUCACCCUGCACUUCACUCAUGUUUAGGUAAAUGGCUCCAUUUAUACCCAGUUAGACCAAAUUCUUGGUGUGGCCAUUGAUUUCUCUUUUCUAUAGGCUUUUAUUUUUUAUUUUAUUUUUUAUUUUUUAUUUUUUAGACAGGGUCUUGCUCUGUCACUCAGGCUGGAGUACAGCGGCUGGCUCACUGCAGCCUCGACCUCCUGGGCUCAGGUUGUUACAGGAAGGGGGUCCCGAUCCAGACCCCCAGAAAGGGUUCUUAGAUCUUACGCAAGAAAGAAUUCAGGAACCUUCUCUGGAGGUCUGGAUCGG